rnacentral:lncRNA from 1 species
UCGCGUGAGUGCGCGUGCGUUGGGGCCUCAGCCUUUAUCUCCACUCUGCGGAGAUUCACGCCUGGAAAACGCUCUUCUGAGAGGAUCUGUGGAGGUCAACCCAGGAGAGAGAAGACAGGACUGAAGCACUGAAAGGGUCCUGCCGUUAAGGGCGCAGGAUUGUAUAGAAUAUAUAAUAGCAGUAGCAGCUCUGUUUACGGAGCAUUAACCUUACGUGGAGUUAUUUCCUGCAUUUCCUCCUUUCGUCUUUACAAGGUAGCCGUUUGGCGUCGUGAGUAUGUGCCAAAUCUACUAGACAUUGGAGAAACAGUAGGAACAACACAUGGUACCGGCACAUGGAUCUUUCAGGAAAACGAAGUAGGUAAUAAACAGGAAAAAGCCCGAGUCUGAUGCUAAGAAGAACAUAAACAGGAUGCUGAGCGGAAAGUGACCAGAAGAGGUGUGCAGUUUCCAGGCCUGGCCCAUACAGACCUCCAACAGGUGCUCCCCUGUGCUGUUACUCCUUCUGCCAACUGGAAGCAGAUGGUGACCAGGCUCUGGAGAAGGCAAGGCCUGAAGAUGGGAGAUUCCUAAGUGGAGGAGAACUGUGCCUUACUGACCUAAAUAUCCACUCAGUAUUGUUAUGUGAGAAUAAAUAAACUUGUGUUGACCGUU